rnacentral:rRNA from 1 species
UACGUAGGGGGCAAGCGUUGUCCGGAUUUAUUGGGCGUAAAGAGCGUGUAGGCGGUUUGGUAGGUCCGCUGUGAAAACUCGAGGCUCAACUUCGAGACGCCGGUGGAAACCAUCAGACUAGAGUCCGGAAGAGGAGAGUGGAAUUCCUGGUGUAGCGGUGAAAUGCGCAGAUAUCGGGAAGAACACCCGUGGCGAAGGCGGCUCUCUGGGACGGUACUGACGCUGAGACGCGAAAGCGUGGGGAGCGAACAGG